rnacentral:lncRNA from 10 species
AGGAGCUGCCCAAGCCAGGAGCAGUUCUGGCACAGUAUCCUCCACUUUCAGCCUGGGGUCUGCAUCAUCCUGUCCGCUUUCAAUGCCUUAUUUCCAAAGAUCUGUUCAGAGUGUCCUCCUUUCUUCAUUGUGUAUUUUUGGAACCUUUGUAAAAGAUCAGUUGACUGCAGUAGACACUUGAAGAACAUGGGUUCGAACUGCCCAGGGUCCACUUACAUGCAAAUUUUCUUCCACCUCUGCUGUCCCUGAGACAGUAAGACCAAUUCUCCUCUUUCUUCUCUUCCUC